rnacentral:sRNA from 1 species
CGGUGUCGACCAGUCCCGGGGUGAUGAAGUGGACGUGGCAGUCGAUCCCACCGGCGGUGAGGAUCUUCCCGUUCCCGGAGACCACCUCCGUGGACGGGCCGAUCACCAGCGCCUCGUCGACGCCGUCCAUCGUGUCCGGGUUGCCCGCCUUGCCGAUGCCGACGAUCCGCCCGUCGCGCACACCGACGUCGGCCUUGACCACGCCCCAGUGGUCGAGCACCACCGCGCCGGUGAUCACGAGGUCGGGGGCGCCCUCCGCGCUCGUGCGGGUGGACUGGCCCAUCGACUCG